rnacentral:misc_RNA from 1 species
GAUGAAGAACGCAGCGAAAUGCGAUAAGUAAUGUGAAUUGCAGAAUUCAGUGAAUCAUCGAAUCUUUGAACGCACAUUGCGCCCCCUGGUAUUCCGGGGGGCAUGCCUGUCCGAGCGUCAUUACAACCCUCAAGCUCAGCUUGGUGUUGGGCCCCGCCGCCCCGGCGGGCCCUAAAGUCAGUGGCGGUGCCGUCCGGCUCCGAGCGUAGUAAUCCUUCUCGCUCUGGAGGUCCGGUCGUGUGCUCGCCAGCAACCCCCAAUUUUUUUCAGGUUGACCUCGGAUCAGGUAGGGAUACCCGCUGAACUUAAGCAUAUCAAUAAGCGGAGGA